rnacentral:rRNA from 1 species
GACGAACGCUGGCGGCGUGCCUAAUACAUGCAAGUUGAGCGCUGAAGGUUGGUACUUGUACCGACUGGAUGAGCAGCGAACGGGUGAGUAACGCGUGGGGAAUCUGCCUUUGAGCGGGGGACAACAUUUGGAAACGAAUGCUAAUACCGCAUAAAAACUUUAAACACAAGUUUUAAGUUUGAAAGAUGCAAUUGCAUCACUCAAAGAUGAUCCCGCGUUGUAUUAGCUAGUUGGUGAGGUAAAGGCUCACCAAGGCGAUGAUACAUAGCCGACCUGAGAGGGUGAGCGGCCACAUUGGGACUGAGACACGGCCCAAACUCCUACGGGAAGCAGCAGUAGGGAAUCAUCGGCAAUGGACGAAAGUCAGAACGAGCAACGCCGCGUGAGUGAAGAAGGUUGUCGGAUCGUAAAACGCUGUUGGUAGAGGAGAACGUUGGUGGGAGUAGAAAGCUCAUCAAGUGACGGUAACUACCCAGAAAGGGACGGCUAACUACGUG